AGGCAGAGUCCACAGCCGAGUAGGACUAGAACUGUGAAGUUCUGAAGAACAUAGUCUGCAGAGUUGGGUAGAAAGAUAGGAGAACUGGGGUAAAGAAAGAAGCAGGUUGAAAGUCACAGGAACCUUAGAGGGGGCUGGAAUGAUGUAGUCAACUGGCAGAGUGUGAGACUAGCAUGCAUGAAGCCAUGGGGUUAUUCCCUGUCAUUGAUGAUGCAUAUGUCAUUCCAGGCUUACAUAGAGAGCCCUCAAGUCUAGCCUGGGCUACAUGAGACCCUGUGUCAAAAACCAAAUCAAAACCUAGACAAAAUACUCUAACUAGUAAUAUGUUAUAAGUAAAAAUAUCCAGGAAGAUUAAUGGGACUACUCACAUUUUAGUUCAGGAAUAAAAGAAUCAACAUAUACAAGAUGUUUUUAAAGGAACAAUGAAGAAUAAAAAUUUGCUUCAUGGGAAUACCCAAAUUCACAUUUUUGAUAAGGCAGUCUGGCUUGGUAACAAGCACCUUUACAAGCAAGCCAUCCUGUUCCUGUCACUAGAAGGAUUUAGUUACCCAGUUAUUUAAACCAUUCACUUCUUUUGUUUGGUCAUCAAUUGGGCUUAUAAGUGAUAAUGAGUUUGAGGACAGUGUAACCCAAACAAAACUAAACAAGUAGAUAAUAUUUAUUCAGCUUAUGGU
rnacentral:lncRNA from 1 species